rnacentral:rRNA from 1 species
UCGAACGAGAAAGUCCGCAAGGAUGAGUACAGUGGCGCACGGGUGGGUAACACGUGGAUAACCUGCCCUGGAGUGGGGGAUAACAUCCCGAAAGGGGUGCUAAUACCGCAUAACACCCUAGUUGAAAGACAGGGGUUGAAAGGAGCGAUUCGCUCCGGGAGGGGUCCGCGGCUGAUUAGCUAGUAGGUGGGGUAAGAGCCCACCUAGGCGACGAUCAGUAGCCGUCCUGAGAGGGAGCACGGCCACACUGGAACUGAGACACGGUCCAGACUCCUACGGGAGGCAGCAGUGGGGAAUUUUUGGCAAUGGGGGAAACCCUGACCAAGCAACGCCGCGUGGAUGAUGAAGUAUCUUGGUACGUAAAAUCCUUUCGGCAGGGACGAAUUCAAUUGACGGUACCUGCGGAAGAAGCUCCGGCCAACUCCGUGCCAGCAGCCGCGGUAAUACGGGGGGAGCAAGCGUUGUUCGGAAUUACUGGGCGUAAAGGGCGCGUAGGCGGCUAGGCAAGUAGGUGGUGAAAACCCCGGGCUUAACUCGGGGCUGGCCAUCUAAACUGCCUGGCUGGAGUGCAGGAGGGGGCAGUGGAAUUCCUGGUGUAGCGGUGAAAUGCGUAGAGAUCAG